rnacentral:rRNA from 1 species
UACGUAGGGGGCAAGCGUUGUCCGGAAUCAUUGGGCGUAAAGCGCGUGUAGGCGGUUACGUAAGUCUGCUGUGAAAGUCGGAGGCUCAACCUUCGAAAGCCGGUGGAUACUGCGUGACUAGAGUACGGAAGAGGAGAGUGGAAUUCCUGGUGUAGCGGUGGAAUGCGCAGAUAUCAGGAGGAACACCAAUAGCGAAGGCAGCUCGCUGGGACGUAACUGACACUGAGGCGCGAAAGCGUGGGGAGCGAACAGG